AACGAACGCUGGCGGCAGGCUUAACACAUGCAAGUCGAACGGAUCCUUCGGGAUUAGUGGCAGACGGGUGAGUAACGCGUGGGAACGUACCCUUUGCUACGGAAUAACUCAGGGAAACGUGAGCUAAUACCGGAUGUGCUAUACGGGGGAAAGAUAUAUCGGCAAAGGAUCGGCCCGCGAUGGAUUAGCUAGUUGGUGGGGUAAUGGCCUACCACGGCGACGAUCGAUAGCUGGUCUGAGAGGAUGAUCCGCCACACUGGGACUGGGACACGGCCCAGACUCCUACGGGAGGCAGCAGUGGGGAAUAUUGGACAAUGGGCGCAAUCCUGAUCCAGCCAUGCCGCGUGAGUGAUGAAGGUCUUAGGAUUGUAAAGCUCUUUCACCGGUGAAGAUAAUGACGGUAGCCGGAGAAGAAGCCCCGGCUAACUUCGUG
rnacentral:rRNA from 1 species